rnacentral:rRNA from 1 species
CGCGGCCUAUCAGCUUGUUGGUGAGGUAACGGCCCACCAAGGCGACGACGGGUAGCCGGCCUGAGAGGGUGACCGGCCACACUGGGACUGAGACACGGCCCAGACUCCUACGGGAGGCAGCAGUGGGGAAUAUUGCACAAUGGGCGCAAGCCUGAUGCAGCAACGCCGCGUGAGGGACGACGGCCUUCGGGUUGUAAACCCCUUUCAGCAGGGACGAAAUUGACGGUACCUGCAGAAGAAGGUCCGGCCAACUACGUGCCAGCAGCCGCGGUAAUACGUAGGGACCAAGCGUUGUCCGGAAUUAUUGGGCGUAAAGAGCUCGUAGGCGGUUCAGUAAGUCGGGUGUGAAAACUCAAGGCUCAACCUUGAGACGCCACUCGAUACUGCUGUGACUUGAGUCCGGUAGAGGAGUGUGGAAUUCCUGGUGUAGCGGUGAAAUGCGCAGAUAUCAGGAGGAACACCAGCGGCGAAGGCGGCACUCUGGGCCGGUACUGGCGCUGAGGAGCGAAAGCAUGGGGAGCAAACAGGAUUAGAUACCCUGGUAGUCCAUGCCGUAAACGUUGGGCACUAGGUAUGGGACCAUAUCAACGGGUUCCGUGCCGUAGCUAACGCAUUAAGUGCCCCGCCUGGGGAGUACGG